CAGCCGCCACGGUAAUACGGAGGGAGCUAGCGUUGUUCGGAAUUACUGGGCGUAAGGCGCGCGUAGGCGGUUACUCAAGUCAGAGGUGAAAGCCCGGGGCUCAACCCCGGAACUGCCUUUGAAACUAGGUGACUAGAAUCUUGGAGAGGUCAGUGGAAUUCCGAGUGUAGAGGUGAAAUUCGUAGAUAUUCGGAAGAACACCAGUGGCGAAGGCGACUGACUGGACAAGUAUUGACGCUGAGGUGCGAAAGCGUGGGGAGCAAACAGGAUUAGAUACCCCUGUAGUCCCUGUCUCUUAUAC
rnacentral:rRNA from 1 species